rnacentral:lncRNA from 1 species
UGAUAUCUAUUCAUUUUUCUGCAUAAUUGAUGCUCUUACAAUUUGAUCUAUAAUACAGGUACUAUUCACAUCUAGUAGCAGGAACAGCAAAUGUACAUGAUGCAAGAGAAUGCUAGUGUGCACACAGGUCGCUGGCAGCUGGGCCCUGGCCAGUAUAAAGAAUGUACAAAGCAAACAUUAAAUUACAGGAUGAUCUAGUGCUAAUCACGCAUGAAGUUCCAAGUUCCUGACGCAUCAAAACCCCUGAUAGUACCCGCCAAACGAUAUGCUCGCCCGUGCCGACGAUGCGCCUCCCAUGACCGACGACAUGGUCUGGUUCAGUCUGGAUGCCUGCUGCACAACCUGCUGAAUCCUCUGCAGAUCAAACAAGCACAAACCUGUCAGAAAACCCCAUUUCUCUAGUAGUGCUUCAUCCAUAACCUAUUCCAAGAUUCCAUUCUGCAAUAAUCCGGUCUAAAAUCCAAAGAUUCUUUUCAAUUUUUUUGCACCAACGUAUAAGUGAGGUUUAAGUAUGAGUUUUAAAAAGGAGGAGUAAAGUAUAAGUAAGCAAUAUCCUAAUCCAAGAACAUGCUGUUAGGAAUGUUUGCAGAUGUUAAAAAAAAAGCUGAAUUGCUAGAAGCCAUCAGGGAAGAGCCACGAACCUCG